rnacentral:rRNA from 1 species
UCGAGGAUCUUCCGCAAUGGGCGCAAGCCUGACGGAGCGACGCCGCGUGUGGGAUGAAGGCCUUCGGGUUGUAAACCACUGUCACUCGUUAAGAAAGGGUUGGGGGUUAACAGCCUCCAGCACUGACGAAGGCGAGAGAGGAAGCCACGGCUAACUUCGUGCCAGCAGCCGCGGUAAGACGAAGGUGGCGAGCGUUGUUCGGAAUCACUGGGCAUAAAGCGCUCGUAGGCGGCAAUGUAAGUCGGAUGUGAAAUCCCUCGGCCUAACCGAGGAACUGCGUCCGAUACUGCGUAGCUUGGGGACCAAAGGGGUGCAUGGAAUUUCCGGUGGAGCGGUGAAAUGCGUUGAUAUCGGAAGGAACGUCGGCGGCGAAAGCGAUGCACUGGUUGGUUACCGACGCUGAGGAGCGAAAGCCAGGGGAGCAAACGGGAUUAGAUACCCGGGUAGUCC